UGGAUGUGGUCUGGAUGUUGUCCUGUGUCCUCUAGUCUUUAUUCUAGGAAGAGUUGUCUUUGUUCUAUUUUCAUAGAUAUAUGUGGUUUUGGGAGGAGAUUUCCGCUGCUCUACUCACACCGCCAUCUUGGCUCCAAUGUCUCCCAUUAUCCUUUUACUGUCCAUAGAAUUUGUAGUGAUGUUGCCUCUUUAUUUUCUGAUGAGUAUUUUGUGUCUUCUCUCUUUUUUUUGUAGUUAACUUCACUAGGGGCUGUUGAUUUUGGUUUUUUAUUAAGGUAUUAUUGAUAUACACUCUUAAGAAGGUUUCACAUGAAAAAACAAUGUGGCUAUUACAUUCACUCAUAUUAUUAAGUCCCCCGCCAUACCCCAUUGCAGUCACUGUCCAUCAGUGUAGUAAGAUGCCACAGAUUCACUAUUUGUAGUGGCUAUUGAUUUUUAUAGAUCUUUAGAAAAAGCAAGAUUUGUGUUCAUCAUUAUUAUUAUUUUUUUUGCUAUUGAUUUCCUAUUCUCAGUUUCAUUGAUUUCUGCUCUAAUUUUCAUUAUUUCUCUUGUUUACUUUGGAUUUAAUUCACUCCUCUUUUUCUAGUUUAUUAAGGUAGACGCUUAAGAUGAUUGAUUUUAGAUUUUUUUUCCUAAUACAUGCAUUCAAUGCUAAAAUUUCCCUUAAAGCACUGCUUUCAUUGCCUCCCACACAUUUGGUAUGUGGCAUUCUCACUUUCAUUUAGUUCAAAAUAUUGUUAAAUUUCUCUUGAUGCUUCUUGAUCUUUGUGUUAUUUAGCAGUAUGUUGUUUAAUCUCCAUGUAUUUUGGGAUUUUCCAGCUGUCUUUAUCUUAUUGUUUUCUAGUUAAUUCCAUUACUGUCUGAGAGCAGACAUAUUCUAUUAUUUUUUAUUAUUAUUUAUUCUAUAUUUUUCUAUUAUUUUAAAUUUGUUAAGGUGUAUUUUAUGGCUUAGAAUGUGGUCUGUCUUAAAAAUAUUCCACAUGAAAUGUUCCAUAUGUUUUCUGCGGUCGUUGAAUGAAAUAUAGUCUAUAGGUAUCCGUUAUGUCUAGUUGAUUAAUGGUGUUACUGAGUUCAACUUUGUCCUUACAGAUUUCCUGUCUAUGGGAUUUGUCCAUUUCUGAGAGAGGUGUGUUAAAGGUUCCAAUUAUUAUAGUGGAUUCAUCUAUUUCUUGUUGCAGUUCUAUCAGUUUUUGCCUCAUGAAUUUUGAUACUCUGUUGUUGGGUGCAUAUGCAUUAACAAUUAUUAAGUCUUCUUGGAGAUUUGACCCUUCUUACUAUUAUAUACUGCCCCUCUUUUCCCUGACAACUUUACUUGCUCUGAAGUUUGCUUUUUCUGAAAUUAAUACAGCGACUCCUGCUUUUUUAAAAAUUGUGUUAGUAUGGUAUAUCUUUCUCUGUCCCUUUAUUUUUACUCUUUAUGUGUCUGUAUAUUUAAAAUGGGUUUCUUGCAGACAACUUACAUCUUGUGUUUUGACCUACUCUGAAAAUUUCUUUUAACUGGUGUGUUUAGACAAUUGACAUUCAAAGCAACUAGUGAUAUAGUUGGAUUACUAUUUACUUUGUUUGUUACUGUUUUCUAUUUGUUGCCCCUGUUCUUCCUGUUUUUCUCUUCCACCUUUUCUGCCUUUCUUGGUUCAAAUUAGUCACUCUAUAUGAUUCUGCUUUUUUGGCUUCUGUAGCAUAUCUGUUAUGCUUCUUUUGUAAAAAGUCUUUUUUAAUGGUUGCCCUGGAGUUUGCUAUAUAAAUUUGCAACUAAGCCAAGUCCACUUUCAAGUAACACUGCACUACCUCAUGGGUAGUGCAAGUACCUUAUAAUAACAAAAUAAUCCUAACUCCUACCUCCUGUCCCUUGUGUCAUUGCUGCCAUUCAUUUCUCAUACAUAAGCAUAUGUAUAUACAUAAUGGAAUACAUUGUUGCUGUUAUUUUUUUGAACAAACUGUUGUGUUAGAUCACUGAAGAAUAAGAGAAAUAAAAGUUUUUCUUUUACUUCCCCUUGUUCUUUUUCCAUCUGUUCUUCCUUUCCUCCUAUAGAUCUGAGUUUCUGACCUGUAUCAUUUUCCUUCUCUCUGAAGAACCUCUUUUAACAUUGUUUGCAAGGCAAGUGUCCUUGCAACAAAUUCCCUCAGUUUUUUUUGUUUGAGAAGGUCUUUAUUUAUUCUUCACUUCUGAAGGAUAAUAUUGCAGGAUAUAAAAUUCUAGAUUGGUGUUUUUCUGCUUUCAGCAUUUUAAAAUUUACCUGUUCUUCUUGCUUGCAUGGUGUCUGAAGAAGGUUGGUUGUAAUUCUUAUCUCUAUAGCACUUGAUCAGAGAUUUUCAUUAGUCAUUUGUGUGUGUGUGUGGCUGUUGAUAAGAGUCCCCCUCCCCCCAUGAGACUGUGAACUCCAUGGCUUUGAAGGAUGCUAAACUGGCUAUGUGUACCAUUAUGUCUCUAGAACCUAACAUAGCCUGGUAUAUUCAUUGUGUCACAAGCAUCUGAAGGUGAUUUUGUAAAAGAAAUUGCUCUACUGUAGAGGAUUUUAACCCUUAGAUUCCAUGAAUGGGAUUUGGGGUUAGAGCUAUCUAUGAAACUCCUGAAAUUAUGUAGAAUUUUGAGAAUAUGUAUCUGUAUGUUUUCUUGGGAAUUGGGUCUUAGUUUUUCAGCAGUUCAUUAAAGGCUAUGUCACAUCAUGCUCUAAUUCUUACCUGCCUGCAUUAAGUACAUAAUAACAUUAGUACUAGGAUGAUACUGGUCUGCAAGAUAGAAAGUGUGGUUUCCACAUAAUCUAAGAAGCAACCUUAAUUAGAUUCCAGAUAUUUUUUUUUUAAGAGAAGAAAGAUGUCAUUUGUUUUGAAUGGUUCUAGCAUUUUAGGCAAACCCCUACUCAACAUUUUCCAGUUUCAGAUAUAUAUUUUUUGAUCUCUAGAAAUGAGCAACUUGAAUAUCAGUGCAUAAAAGCAAGAAGUUAGCAAACUAUUUUAGUUGAUGAAGGCAUAAAUAAAUGUCUCCUUUGCUUAUAGGCAAAGGGAAUGCUUUCUUAUAUUUUAUUUUUCCUCAGAAGUUCAAAAUGACUUGCUAAUAUUCUUACUAAAAUAAUUUGCAAACAUUCUCCUGCUAAAUGUUUUCUGAAUUACAGCUCAGCCGUUAGCCCCCUACUAUUUUCUAAUGUGCUGUUUAACCUCCUAAAAUUGAGCAUAUCUUUAAUGCACUGGGAAGAAAUGCUCAGGAAGAAUAUGUAAUGUGCUUUCUAGUUUUGCCCAAAGGCAUCCACUUUGAUUUUCUACUAUCACUUCAUAUUUAUAUAGCAUCUUCCUGCAGGAAGCCCAAAAUGCUUCACAAUCAUAAUUGCCCAAAUUCUUAUAUGCUUGUUAAUUAAUGCCUGUUUUUAAAUGGAGAAACUGAGGCAGAAUCUCACAAUUAAAUCAGGAAAUCACAAAUAGAAUCAUUCUCAGUCAGUCUUUAAUUCACCAGGAUUAUAUCUUCUUUCUAAUGUUCUCUCCAAGCAUCUAAUCAUUUAAGCAAAUUUUAGUAAGCACCUAUAGAGUUUAAGCCACUGUGGUUCAAUGAUGAGACCUCAUCCCUGACAAAAUGUCUUGCCCAGAUCUUCUCUUCUUUUCCCUCUAAUCAGAAUUCACCUCUUCCUCCACCGUAAUCCAAAGCACAUUGAAUUACUAUUAUACACUUACUUCUAUUUGCCUUGGAUAAGAAUAAAGUUUGUGGUUAUUAAUAUGGUUGAUGUGACAUGACCCCAUUGGCCUUUUCCACCAUUGCCAUCCAGGUAUAACUACCAUCAGUAGAAUCAUAGAUGAUAGAAUAGUAAACCUGAAAGGUACCCUAAAGAUGAUUUUGGAGCUCAGGCUUUGAUUUUACAGGUAGAGCAACUGAGAUUCAGCAAGACUAAUUGACUUGCCCAAGACCACAUAUAAUGUCAGAACCAAACAAUGUCUUCCUUAAACGUUAAGAAUAUUUUUAUAUGCCUAUUUGUGGAUAUGAAUACUGAUGAAAUUUGCCCCCCAACAACAGAUGUGCCCACUGGUAUACUAGUAAAGAUUUAAUUUCUAGCUGAGAGCCAACUAUACCAUGUAUAUUCAGCUCUGUCCUACAGAGACAUGACAAUCUCAACCCAAAAACAAAUAGAAUGGCCGACUUAAUUUACCAACAGUUUCACAACUGGCUCACAAAAUUUCUGAAAAUUUAAUUAUUUGGAUCUCACAGGUUGGUGUGAACCAGUUCUGGCAUUCCAGUGGAUAUGCCCUUGAAAUCAUACAUUUACUAUUAAAAUUAUCAGAUCAUUUCCUCACUCAUCCUAGUUGUCCAUUCAGAAACACUUUACCUUAUUUUCUGACUAAUAUUUCCAAGAAGAAAUAAAUUAUUCCUUCAUUCCAGCUUGAACCUUCACUUUCAGUUAAAGAAUUUAAUGACUUGUUAAUAUGUGUUUAAAGCUACUUGGAGGGUCUGUUUUCUAAGGGAACUUUGGAUAAAUUCUUGAGUAUCAGUUAUCUAUUGCUAAAUUACAAAUUACCCCAAAAUAUACUGGCUUAAAACAAGUUCACAGUUCUGGGUAAUUGUGGUCUAGAUUGGACUCAGCUUAUCCUGACUGGGCUUGCUGUUGCACCUGAAGUCAUUAAUUGGGUCAGUGAAGCUGGCUGGUCUUGGAUGGCAUCACACAUAUGUGCAGCGACUGACUGUCAUAUAGAGUAAUAGGGGGACUAUGUGUUUCUUACCCAGGAAGCUAGGCCUGGCUUUUCUCAUGGCUUCAGGGUUUCCAGGGUCCAAUACUGGCAGCUGCAAGGUCUUUUAAGGCCUAGUCUCAGAACUGGCACAUCACUUCCACAAGGCCACCCCAGGUUCAGGGAGUAGGGAAAUUGACUCUUCUGAAGGGAGAAGCAGCAAAUACUGUGGCCAUUCUAUCACAGCAAGAAUCACUAAGCUUAACUUGAUUUGUUUUUGGGUUGAGAUUGUCAUGUCUCUGUAGGACAGAGCUGAAUACACAUGGUAUGGUUGGCUCUCAGAAAUUGAUUUGAGUUCUUUCCUGAUGUGCAAAAGAAAUUUGUAGCUUUUACGUAAAUCACAUCUACUUGAAUGAUCACUCAUUGAUAUGCUCAGUAACUGAUCAUUUCCUUACGAGUUUAAACCAUAUAUUUUAACACUAUCUCUUUUCCAUACACAUUAUAGUUAGCUAAAGGUUGAGUUGAACUGGGGGAGAACUAAACAAUUAGGCAGUGUGGUCUGCUUAACAAUUGAAGACCUAAAUAAGAUGUUAAGUCAUCAGUUAGUAGUGUGCUGUCAUUUAUGUUUAGAAAAGAAGUGUCAACUAGGGAUCAGACUAGUAGGGGAAGAUUGCUUCAUGGAGAACCAUUUUUAAAUUCACCUUGUUGAGAAUCAGCCUCCAGUUUUCUUCUGGGGAUUUACCCUUUCCCCACUCAGUCUAUGAAUUCUCCAUGGCAUUCUGAUUCUAUACCAAGAGUGGAAUCAUGACCCAGGCCCAAGAUAACCUGCACAUGUGUUCCUGAGGUGGGUACAUGACUUAAACCAAUGCAAUCCAAGGACAUUUCAAGACUUUCACAAGUGCCACCAGCAGAUAAGUUCUUUCUCUCCACUGAAUAGGAACUUAAGGGUUGUAAGGCUGGCAUUCCUGCAGUCAUCUUAUGACCAUGAGGGGAUUGUCUGAUAUGGAGCCAACCCAAAAGACAUGGAACUGAGAAACGGAGAAAAUGAAACUAGAUCCUAAUUACUUAAACCAAAAAUUAAUUUUUUGCUUAAGCCCAUUUGAAUGGAUCUUUCUUACAUGUGGAAUCAACAUUUGAGUCAAAGUGAAUCUUUGAAUGAAUCUAAGAUCAAAAAAGUCUUAACUGGUGUAAUAAUGAUCAUGUUCAAAAUUAAUUGAUCAUGAUCAAAAUUAACUUGAAAAAAUACAUACAUACAUGUUUAGAGCACAGUCUGAGAAACAAAUGAAACAAUCUGUUGGCUAUGUCAGCUUCUUCUAUAUGCUUGCCAAAAUUAAUGUCUAGAAAAGAGAGUAAAGCAUGAGUAUCCUAAGAAUAAAACUCUGGAGUAGUCUAAAAAAAUCCAACCAGUUGCUAGGGAUAUCCUGACUGAGAGAUUCAGAACAGUCCCUUAAUGCAUUAUGAUGAAAACAGUUCUUCACAACAGUGACCAUGAAACACUCGAAAGCCAGUUAUAAGAGAGAUUCAUAGGCUCAUAGAACUUUAGAUCUGGAGGAGUUAAAAUCAUCUGCAACUCAGUAAUGGAGGGAAAUGGAUUCAUGCCAUUUUAAACAAUAGAAAUUAAAAUGCAUGUUUUAGGUAAUCCUUAAAUGAUUGAAAGCAGUGGUUUCCCAGUCUCCUCUACUGACUAAGGCUCUACAAUACAAGGGAAUUUUAUCACAGCUGGGCCUUCUUAGGUCUCCAGGGGCAUAGAAGCUUAGUGAAAACCCCUACUUCAUUUCUCCAUUGUAUAACUCUUAUGGUGGGACAUACAUGUUUUUCAAAGUAAUAUUUGAGGAAUGUCAUAGAUUUUGACUCAUAAUUUGGGAGGAAGAAUGUGGAGUAGAAUAUGGAAGAAAUGUAGAGUUAGCAGAUUUUCAUUUGGAUCCUAGCCUUGUCCAUAACUGUGUGAGCUGCUGGAUGUAUAAGUCCCAUGAAGACAUGGCCUAUAUCUGUCUUUUAAUUCAUUGAUGUAAACUUAGUGCCAAAAUGCACCACAAUAUCUGGCACAUAUAGUGAAUGCUCAAUAGGUUUUUGUUAACUAAAUUAAUAUAUGGAUUUUGCAGAGUCCCUUAACCUUUCUGUUAGUGUAACUUGUUGCUUUGGUAACAAGCACCAAAGCCUCAGUAAGGUUUAUUUAUAAAUAAAUCACAAUAAAAGUUUAUUUCUCACUCCUGUUACAGUCUAAUUCUGGUCAGUUGGUAGGGAAAAAUAUCUCUGCUCCACAGAGUCAUUCAAGGACCCAGGCUCCUGCCAAGUGAUGGCCUCACCAUUGCCUGAGGCUUUGACUCUUCUGGAUCCUGUGCUUCUGGAGGGCAGGCAAAGAAGAGAAUGUAGAGAAGAGAGGAUUGUAUGUUUGGUUUUAGUGGUCAUCCCUAACGGAGGGGGCCAGAAUUCAGUUCUUUGCCAGACUACCCCUCCUACUAUAAGAGAGCUGGGAACUGAUUUAGCGGCACACCCCUGUAAGAAGAGGAGAAAUGAACGUUGAUGAGAUUAAGCUUUCUCUGCUUCACUCUCUGAGCCCCAAUUCUUCUAAAAAGAAGAAACGAUAAUUACUAUUUGCCAGCACUUUAUGAGGAUUUAAUGAGGCAAUGAAUGUAGAAGUACUUGGUACAGUGCUGUCAAAUGUUACUUAUGAGUAUUCCUCAGCAAUUUGGUCCCUUCACGUCUGCAUUUAAUCUUUGAAAUGUGUAUGCUGAAAUGCUAAGAACCUUUCCAGCUCUAAAAUGCUUAAAUUCUGUGAUAUUUUAACCUUCAGCAAGCAAAUAACUUUCUGGCUUUGUCUUGCUUGGUGCCUGGGAUAAAGCCUUUAGGAUCCUACAUGAUUCUACAACUCAGUUCUCCUGCCCCCAAGCUCUCUUACAUUGUUGUAGUAUGCCUGUAUUCUUUUUGAGACAUAACCUGACUAUGUUCUCUCAUUUUAAUACUAUUCAUUACAACCAUGGGUAAUAGAUAAUUUUGCCUUCCUGUUUUUUGCAUCAAGUUCCAGCCUGCUAGACUUACCUAAUUUCAGAAGAAAAUCUUAGAUGUAGGUUAGAGAAUCUAAGGAAGCAUCAAACAGACUUGAAAUAUUAAAAACAAACAUGAUUACUUUAAUCCGGUCUUGAAAGAUUCUAUGUAAUAGAAGUUUGGUUCAAUCUA